GAAAUUGACAGUGUAAAUUCUGAGAUUCUGUAACGGAGACCAAGAGCAAACUUUUUAGUUUCUUUUGGCAUUAAAGCUCGGAGAUGUUUGAAACAACUUAGAGUUUGGAUGGCCAUUUGCUGUUAUUCAGGGAUUAAAAGAUAUGAGCAUCUGUAAGUGGUAUUAGAUAAGUGGGAUUAAAAGAUAUGAGCAUCUGUAAGUGGUAUUAGAUAAGUAUAUUGGUAUUGUGGGUUGAUUAUGCUUCUAGUGAUUCCUUAAAAAUAAGUUUUUCAUGCCAGUUCAAGUUGGUAAAUUGUUAAAUGUAGAUACUGAUAUUCAGAAAUAAAGAUU
rnacentral:lncRNA from 1 species